UUCAAUAUCAAUUUCGGUGAAGUGGCGGUUCUGUCCCCGGGACCACGACAAUUUUUUAUAAUAACACCGACGGCUACGGCGACGACAAUGAUGACUACGCUGACGGUGAUCCACCUCGAAGUGUCCCGGCAUGCAGCGAUGUCGCUUUCCAAAGAUACAGAAACUGGAACGUCCCCUGCUGAUGGAGGAGGAAGGAUGGGAAAGCCGAACAACCUUGUGGACAGUUAUUGCUCCCCAUCAGGAAAAUCCUCCUGUAGUUCAACGCCAGCGGUGAGCCUGCAAACAUUUUUCGAAGCAUCGUUCAUACCACAAAAAGAAAAAAAAAAAAGGUGGUAAUUUUAAAAAAAGAUGGUACCUUAUUAGAAAAGAAACAUUAUUUUUUUUUAUCACAAUAGAUUGGGAAGAUUAUAUGUUUUAAGCGUGAGAUCAAGAUAAUCGAAAAGCCGAACAGUCAAACUGAUGAGCUAAAUGCAUCUUUUCAAUCCACGGGGUAUCCAACCACCACAAGAUAGAAAAAUGUUUGCAGACUCACCGCUUGCGUUGUACUGCAAGAGGGUUUUCCUGAUGGAGAGCAAUAACUGUCCAGAAGCUUGCCCGGGUUUCCAGUACUUCCCUCCUCCAUCGGCAUGGGACAUUCCGGUUUCUGUAUCUUUGGAAAGCAAAAUUGAUGUUUGCCGGGAGACUUCGAGGUGGAUCUCCGUCAGCGUGGUCAUCGUUGUUGUCGUCAUAGCCGCCGGUGUUGUUAUAAAAAAUCGCCGUGGUCCUCGGAAUACAAUCGCCAUUCCAUCGAAAAAGAUAUGGAAGCUUAAGAUUCAAGUGGUGCCGCCGUAGCUGUUGCCGCCACCAUUGCGACAGCCAUCGCAGCUGCCGUCGCCACGGCCGUCACAGCCAGUGUCCCAGCCACCAUCGCAGCCGCUGUCGCCACCGCUGCUGUGCUAUCCGUGUCAUACGCUGUCACCGCCAUCAUCGCUGUGGUCGCCGCCGCUGCUGUGUCAUCCAUGUCAUACACUGUUGUCGCUGCACUAUCCAUGUGAUCCGUGUUAUUGUCAUUAGAUAAAUAAAUUACCAUACAUGGUAAUUGAAUGAUGCAUAACGAUAGAUCGUCUAUACUUAGCAUGGGCACUUCUAAGUCCUAUGAAUUGUAAUUUGAUUUUUCAAUCCAAUUAUGUAAUUAUCUUGGAGAUGCCACUAACUUAUGAUAAAUAAAUUAGCAAUCCAAGUAAGAUGUGGGAGUACAUUUCACUCCUAUGAACUAAAGAUUCACCGAUCGAUUUAGUUGCAUUAGAUCUUCUAGUAUGAAAACAAUUUACAUGCAAACUUCACCAAUUUUAUUCCUUAAAUCCUCUAAACAUAUAAAAAGUGAUUAUGCAUAGUCACUCAAGUAACAAAAAUAAACAAGCAAGCAAUUACAGUAGAAAGCUAAUAAAAGAAAUGAAUGACAAGAAAAGUAAAGGACACAAGUGGCAUCGGGCAAAAUUAAGCAAAACCUGGUUAUUAAGGCCCGGGACAAGCCCCGUGAGCUACAAAUGUAAAUUCGAUAUAAGCUCUCCAAGGGAUGCCUGAUGCUCAAAUAGAAAGUGAAUGUAUGACAUGUCAUGACCAUCUACUAAAUAAAUUACAUUGCUAAAAUGAAUUGUCGCAUGUGAAAAAUAAAUCUAUAAAAUGCAAUAUAAAGUGCAGUGCGAUAUUAAGAAAACAAAUCUAUUUGUGAUCGUGCAUGGUACCUAAAAUGCACCCUUAAAAAUACUUUUAAUUUUUUUUUAAUAUUUUAAGACGCAAAAAGAAAAACUAAGAAAAUUAACUAAGUGUCGAAAUGGACAUGAACUAAAGCUUAUGUGCUUGAAUCAACCUAUAUUCCAUAUUUGCAUAGUAACUUGGACACCAAAAUCACAAAUAAAAAUUAUCCACUCCAACAUUGGUGGUGUCAUGUAAAAUGACCAGGUGACAUGACCAAUUUUCCAUACCAAAAGCCGCCACCAAUAAUGGAGGACAGAAGGGAGCCAUUAUAAUGAGAGGUCACCUAAUGAAAAUUCGCACUUCUUUGCUGAUAGUAUAAGAAUAAUACCAAUAACACCACACACCUUGGUUGUUCUUAAUGAGGUACACACAAGCACCCCCUUUGACUCUUCGUUUUAUACUAUAUUAUACUUCAUUCCAUUUUCAACCAUCUCCUUCUCGUGCUCGCGUCAUAUAAUCUUCUGGGUUUAUGUGAUCAAAAUAGUGUUUAUUUUCUAAUAAAGCACCCUCCUUUAGAACAACUACUUCUUUUCUUGUGUGAAUUGAUGCUUCAAAAUAUGUUUGUGAACUCAUCGCUUGCUUUUAACUAAGCAGGACUUUCUUGAUGGAGAACUAUAACUGUCCACAGAAUUGUUCAGGUUGCCCGUGCUUCCCCUCUUCAUUUGUCCCGAAUUCGGUCUCGUCCGACGACAAGAACAUUUCAUGGUGGGAUGCUCCUGGAUGGGUCAUCGUCGGCAUAGUUGUCGUCGCGGUUGAAAUCUGUGGUUUCCUCUUCUACGUUCGUCGUGGUCCUGAGGACGCAGAAAUCACUCUCCCAGUUGACGCGGAAAUCUCCCUUUAAUAGGACACUGCGAGCAUUUCGUUUCCGUUGUCGUUAGCGUUCUUCUCCUGAGACAAUAAGAUCAAGCUUCAGGGCAUGUGUCUGUGUGAAACUCGAAUAAUUUAUAGUGACAGGUCGUCUAUUCUAUUAUCCAACAUUGGAGAUUUGAUGCAACAAAUAAUUGUGUUGGAGGAAAAAAAAAUGUGACGAAGGGUUUGUUAAAUUUCGAUAGUUCUAAGGUCUAUCAAGAACUGGAUCUUUGGAUUUAUCGAGACAUUUUCAGAUUUGAACCAUUAAAAGAAAACUAAUGAAUCACAAAGAAAGAUUUAGCAUAGACUAUUACAAGGUCAUACCAAUGGCAAUUUUAAGAUUUUGAUUUAAUUAAUUAAACAUGCAAUUUAAUUCAUUUAGGAGUUGCCACCAUAAAAGGGGUAUGUAAAAAUGUUGGGAUCGAUUUUUAACAUCCACCUAUUUCCCUCACUUCGAACAUAAGGCUUUAUGCUCAAUUUCUUAUGCACAAAAUCUUCAUGAAGGCGAGCGCAGAGCAUGGCAUCAAGAUAUAUCCUAUCUUAUUAUUCUAAGAUUUAUAAUAUGUAAUGGAACUUUGAAGAGAAAAAGGGAAAACUGUUUAAGCACACAAACGCAUGAUUGCUUAAGGCUAGUCUGCCUUUUUUAUGCAUAAGGGAAAGAAAAGAUAAGCAAGAUUGCAUCAUUGGUAACGCAAGCAUAUUAAUGCCACUUUAGUCUUCAAUAAGGAGCAGAGCUUGAAGAAGCAAAGCGAGCCUAUUACGUUUUUCAGGCCCUUUGACUUGAUAUUCUAUUACUCAAGUGCUAGCACCCCCAUAGAGUCAAGCUCUUCUGCUAUCAAUGAAAUUGAAAGACAGACAAAAACUAGUGCGUUUUGUAAACAUGCGAUUCACGCCUAUGACUUACAAUUAAUACAACACAAGGACUCUUAACACUUAUUACAACAUCGUGACUCAUCUUAAGACAUUUAUUACAACAUGGCUCAUCUUCGUGAUUUAUCACAACAUGACUUCUUUUUAUUUUAAUUCAAAAGAAAAUUGUAUUCAUUACUCAAAAGGAUACAUAAGUACAUAGUGUUCAUGACAGAACAAAUCGAAACAGAGCAAGAAUAGUCAAACGGAGCAUCAGCAAAGUUAACCACACACUUGUUCCAAGAGAACAUAUCUGUCAAGCAAAAGAGAAGAUCGUGUAUCAAAUGGCAACCUUUGGCCUCGGUUCAAUAGACUCACUUGUGAGUGGAGUAUAUUUAGUGCACAUGUGAGGCGAGCCAUAAAGAAAGCCUCACAUUGGGUAUUUGGAGUGAAAAGGAAUGGAGCAAUUGUAAUACCCUAAUUUUCAAAAGGAGGUCAUGGUCAAUCAAAAAGAGUAGAUCAUGUGCACCAAUCAAAAUUGGAUGGCAUGAUGACAUGCUAAAUAAUCAGGAGCUAUCAACCACCACUCCUCAUAAUGUCAUAAAAUUUCCAUAAAUGUAUCACAUUAAUUAGCUAAUUCAAGAUUUCACUAACAAUUGUGUUAAGAGAAAUGGACAUAUAUCUUUUUUAGUCAUAAGAGUUAAAGGAAAUUAUAUAAUUCAGUUGCACUUUUGCAAUAAGUUUUAAAGCUUCUACCUUUCAUGUUAGAUUUGUAACUACAAACAUAUUACAUCUAAUUCAGCUCUUAAUCAUCAAAUUCAAAUUAUUGCACUAUUCCAUUUACAUUGCCAAAAGGCAUAAUCUAAAUUUAGAUAGAUAUUUUCCUUUAAAAUAUGAUCUCUCUUUCCGCAUAGACAUAUAGAUAUAGAUUUUAACACUUUUUGUUCCUACUGAUGUGGGCUUGUAAACUAAGCUGCAAAGACUCAACGGAUUGGCUCUAUUUCACAAAAUUGGCUUUCUAUUCCUCUACAAGCCCUUCGGUCUCUCCUUUGUUUAGUUCCCCUUGCCUGGGACUCUUUAGACCAUGUUCACAAUUUCAAUAAAAUUUUCUUUGACCCAAAAAGGACGAACUUCACCUUUUCUGUUGCCCCAUAGGAUGAUACACAUGAGUCAAUUCUUUCUUCUUAUUCUUCUUUUUUUCUUGGGUCUGUCCAACUUGUUCAGACCAAUAAUUGCGAGUGACCAUCGGACGAAGAAGACAAGACAGAACAAUGGCAACACUUAUGGGUGGUGUGGGUCCUGGAAACUGAGAUGUUAUUUUCAAUCCCUUCCCAACUGAAAAGCACACGCUUUAAAUGAUAAGUAACUCUUCACAUGUGCCCGCUGUAGGAGUGCAUGCGCUAGCACAUGGACGUGCUAGGUGGGUCACUUUCACAUGAGUAAUAUCCACUUUUAUGUGUAUAAAAGAGUGCAUGCACUAGCACAUGGAUGUGCUAGUGUGGGUCACUUUCACACAAGUAAUAUCCACUUUUAUGUGUAUAAAGGAGUGCAUGCACUAGCACAUGGAUGUGCCAAGUGGUUCACUUUCACACGAGUAAUAUCCACUUCUAUGUGUAUAAAGGAAUGCAUGUGCUAGCACAUGGACGUGUUAGGUGGGUCACUUUCACAUGAGUAAUAUCCACUUCCAUGUGUAUAAAGGCAUAUUACCCAUGAUCAAAUUUUCAGUCUAGAGUAGCACUGAAUAAAUUUAUGUAUAUGUACCCAUCCAAUGGAUGAAGAGUGUAAGAUCUAUAUUUACUUGUCACGACCUAUCCCUUCGUACGGAGGAAAAUAAGUUUAGGGGUAUUGUCUAAAAAACAAACCUAUGAUCUAGUGCGCGCUCUCCUAAACUCAUACCUCUCACAACUUUAAAGUAUUCGUAAAAAUUUUCUAAUAAAGAGUCCCAACUAGCCUAUUGAGGUUGACUAAGAACCAAGUGACACAUUAAAGUGUAACUCACCUCCUACACAACUAAAGAGUUUAUGGUUGGGGACUUGUUUAUACUUAUUAAACAAUUAAUGCCAUUUUGGUAUAUAAUCUUAUUCAUUCAAAAAGAUUUUCUAUCAAGUAGUCUAUGUUAAUGUUAGACAUGUUGACCAUGUGAACAUGCAAUCAUUAACAUGACAAUCAUAAACUAAAGUGACAUCAAAUAAAUUGCAUUGGGAGAGCAAGAUCUAGCAUUAUCAAAUAAGGAGCCUGCCAUUUCUAACUAAGCUAAAGGGAAACCAUAAUCAACAUAUGGAAAAUGCAUAAUCGACGGCAUUUAAUUUAAGGAUAAUCGGAAUCUUAUCAAUGAUGAAAGGGCUUGUUUAAUUUUUUAACACAAUUUUCUUAUCAAUGAUUUUCUCGUAAUUUUAAGAGAGGGCUACCUUGAAAGAUUCGGAAUUUUUAAUUAAUUUUUAAAUAUAUAUUUUCUAUUCAACUAAUUAGUAGUCCGAAAAUAGGGACCUGGCCAUAACAUGGAUUAACUUGGACUUACGGUUUAGAUUAGAGGGCACAAUUGAUCUUAUCCUCAAGCCCACCCCAUUUCUGCCCCUUCUAAGGUUUAGAUUAGAGGGCACAAUUGAUCUUAUCCUCUUCCACUUUAUAACUGAGUGCACUAAACCCAUCUUACUAAAAAGAACUCAACCCAAGCACUUCCAAAAAUGAAGGCAGCCCGCUAAAUUCCAUCUUCGAUUAUCUUGAUCUCACGCUUGAAUCAUAUAAUCUUCCCAAUCUAUUGUGAUUAAAAAUAAUAAUGUUUCUUUUUUAAUAAGGUACCAUCUUUUUUUUUAAAUUGCCACCUUUUUUUUUUCUUUUUGUGGUAUGAACGAUGCUUCGAAAGAUGUUUGCAGGCUCACCGCUGGCGUUGAACUACAGGAAGAUUUUCCUGAUGGGGAGCAAUAACUGUCCACAAGGUUGUUCGGGUUUCCCAUACUUCCCUCCUCCAUCAGCACGACAUCGCUGCAUGCCGGGACACUUCGAGGUUGAUCACCGUCAGCGUAGUCAUCAUUGUCGUCGUCGUAGCCGUCGGUGUUAUUACUAAAAAUCGUCGUGGUCCCGGGGACAGAACCGCCACUUCACCGAAAUUGAUAUGGAAGCUUAAUAUUCCAAAAAUAACGUCAGUGCCGCAGUUGCCGCAACCGGGCUGACGCAGUUGUCGUCGCCGGCAGAGGCUGAUGCGGCGACGACGACCUCAUUGCAGCAGUUGCCGCCGGCGGAGGUUGAUGUGGCGAUGACACCGUCAUCGCUGAAGUGGCGGCUGAUGCCGCAGUGGCUGCCGCUGUCAUCACUGCAGCCAUCGUCGUCGUCGUUGCGGUCAUUGUCACCGCCACAGCAGCUGCUGUCGUGUUGUUCAUACGGUGAUCAAAUGAUAGAAUUACCGUGGGUGGUAAUUGAAUGAUGCAUAGUGACAGAUCGUUUGAUCUGUCUUAUAAUACUUCAGAUUCGAUGCAAUAGAUAAUUCUUAUUAUUGGAGGAAAUAAUGUUUGUGUUGGAGGGUUUAUUGAAUUCGGCAGUUUUAUGGUCCAUCGAGAAAUCCCGUAUCAUAACAAAUUAUGCCUUUCUGAAUUUUCUCGUAACUCCUAUGAAAAAGCUGCAAUACACAAAAUCUUAAAGGUUUUACAAUCAACGGACGAGAUUUAUUUUUCUUUAUCCAGCGGUCAUAAGUAGUUACGUAUCCGUUCUCAAGGGGUAAUCGUAACACCCUUAAUAAAAGGGUAAGAAAAUAACCUCUUUUUUUUUUAAAGAAAAAGCCCAAAACAACUUUACAUCUUCACCUUGCGCAGGAAAACGACGGCAAUUGUCGUGGUGACCUCCCGACUUCCGAGGGCAAAUUAGAUUGGCAAGGAAAUUGACGGAUUGCCAAGGUGCGUUGGUCACCGGCCCUUGUCUGGCUGGCGACCAUCUAAGGGGGAAAAAGAGAGGAAGGGAAAAGGAAGAAAAGAAAGGAGAAAUUGCUUGUAUCUUAAGUUGUUUCUAUUUUAUUUUUUCUUCAAAUCUAUUCUCGAGAAUAAAAAAUAUAUAUCAAAUAUGUUUUUAUUCUAUGUUACAGAGAACAAAUAAAAUAAAAAACACUUAUUCUCAGGAGCAUUACCAAAUGCAUUGCAAGUGGUUCCUCUUGCAAGGAGGAAUCUACACUUAGCACGACCCUUCCAAGCCGUAUCAAUCAUAAUUUGAUUUUUCAAUUCAAUUAUACAAUUAUAUUGGAGACGUCACUAACUUAUUAUGGGUCAAUUGGCAAUUCAAGGAGGAUGCGGAAGUACAUUUCACUCCUGUGAACUAAAGAUUCAUAAGUUGAUUUAGAUGCGCCGAGAUCUUUCAGUACGAGAACAAUUUACAUGCGAACUUCACCAAUUUUUAUUCCUUAAAUCCUCUAAACAUAUAAAAAGUGACUAUGCGUAGUCAGUCAAGUUAUAAAAAUAAACAAGUGAGCAAUUGUAGUAAAAAGCUAAUAAAAUAAAUAAAUGACCGGAAAAAUAAAGGACACGAGUCGUUUCGGGCAAAAUCAAACAAAACCUUGCUAUUACGGCCUGGGACAAAACCCCGUGAGCUAUAAAUGUAAAUUUGGUAUAAACUCUUCAAGAGAUGCCUGAUGCUCAAAAAGGAAAGUGAAUGUAUGAUAUGUCAUGACCAUCUACUAAAUAAACUACAUUCCUAAAAUGAAUUGUUGCAUGUGAAAAUUAAGUCUAAAAAAUGCAAUAUAAAGUGCAUGCGAUAUUAAGAAAACAAAUCUAUUUGUGAAUGUGCAUGGUACCUUAAAUGCACCCCUGAAAAUACUUUUAAAUUUUUUUUAAUACUUUAAGAUACCAAAAAAAAAAGCUAAGAAAAUUAACUAAGUGUCGCAAUAAAUAUGAACUAUGUCUUAUAUGCUUGAAUCAACCUAUAUUACAUAUUUACAUAGUAACUUGGACACCGAAAUCACAAAUAAAAAUUGUCUAUGUCAACACCGAUGGUAUCACAUAAAAGGACUAGCGUUCAUGUCAAUGUCGAUUGGCUAAUUUUGGUUAGAUUGACUUAAUCAGCACAAAUGCAAAAAUGUUUAGAACUUAAUUGUUCAAAUAUAUAUAUAUAUAUAUAUAUAUAUAUAUAUAUAUAUGAUUGAAUUUGUACAAUUAUAAUAAGUUUAUGAUCCUUUUGAUAAUUUUCCUGACUAAGAGCCGCCACCAAUAAUGGAGGAUAGAAGAGAGCUGAGAGGCCAUCUAAUCAAAAUUUGCACUCCUUUGCUGGUUGUGUAAGAAUUAUACCAAUAACACCACUCGCCUCGGUUCUUCUUGAUAACUUACAAGCUCCUUCGACUCUUCAGUUUGUGCCAUAUCCUACUUCAUUCGGAUUUCAUUCUUCUCCUUCUCGCACUCGGGUCAUAUAAUCUUCUCCGUUUAUGUGAUCAAAAAAGUGUUUAUUUUCUUAAAAAGUACCCUCCCUUUGAAGAACUACUUCUUUUCUUAUGUGAAUUGAUGCUUCAAAAUAUGUCUGUAAACUAGUCGCUUACAUUGAAAUACGCAGGGUUUUCUUGAUGGAGAAUAAUAACUGUCCACAAAAUUGUCCGUGCUGUCCGUGUUGCCCGUACUUCUCCCCUUCGUCCGAUGGCAAAAUUUCGUCGUGUAAUACUCCGGGAUGGGUCAUCGUCGGCAUCGUAGUUGUCGCCGCCUUAAUAUGUGGUUUCCUUUUCUACUUUAAUCGUGGUCCUAAAGACACAGAGGGCAGUCUCGCGGAUGAGCCACAAAUCUCCGUCGGUACAGGCGGUGUGAACAUUUCGAUUCCGUUGUCGUUAAAACUCUUCUCUAAAGGAUAGUAAUCUGCAAGCUUCCGGGCAUGUUUCUGUGUGAAACUUGGAUGAUGUAUAGUGACAGAUCGUCUCUUCUAGUAUCCAACAUUGGAGAGUUGAUGUAAUAAAUAAUUGUGUUGGAAGAAAAAAAAAAUUAUGAUGAAGGGUUUAUUAAAUUUCUGUAGUUCUAUGGUCUUUCAAGAAAUGGAUCUUCAGAUUUAUUGCAACAUUUUCAGGGGUGAACCAUUAAAAGAAAACUAUGGGAUUGAGGAUGAGACCAACCGGUCCUAGGACCAAGAAUCGGACCGUCCAAUCCAAUCCAAUGGAACCAGCCACUUAGCAAAAAAAUUAGAAAAAAAUAAAAAAUAUACUAGAGUUAUUACAAUUUUAUGGUAUAUUGCUAUUUCUAAGAAAUUAAAAAUAUUAAUAAAAAAAGAGUCGAUCCAAUCCCAUCCAAUUCCCCCUCAAGAUUAGGAAGCGGACUGAAAAUCGUCAAUUCCAUUUUUAUGGAACUGGAAACUAGACCAACGCCUUUGAGAACUGGAUCAACGUCCCUAGGAAUCGAAUUGAACCGAACCGGCCAGCCGAUCCGAUUCGGCCGGUCCGAUAUGCUCACCCUUAAUUAAUAACUUUUGCAUUUUUAAAGUGAGGAUGUACAUGAAAGAGGCAUGCCUCACGGCAAAUCAACAUAAUGGUAAUGUCAUUAAUGUUAGAUCAUGAUUAUCUGCCACGUGAAUUGAAAGUUCCCAACUCUUUGUCAUGUUAUAAUGGCUAUCUAUAGUGUGCUUUGGUCCACUCAUCAAUAAUUUUUGCUUUUUCAAAGUGAGGAUGUACAUGAGAAAGGCAUGCCUCACCGACCGGUGAUGUUGACUUGCCAUGAGGCAUACCUUUCUUGCGGUAGGACUUUCAUCCAUCUCUUCUCACUUUAGAUGCGAGAGGCUACUUUAUUUAUCUAUCCUGUGAUAACCAAGAUUGUUCCACUCUUCAAUAAUUUUUGCUUUUUUAAAGUGAGGAUGUACGUGAGAAAGGCAUGCCUCACCGACCGGUUAUGUUGACUUGCCGUGAGGCAUGCCUUUCUUGUGGUAGGACUUUCAUCAUCUCUUCUCACUCAAGAUGCGGAAGGCUACUUUACCUAUCUAUCAUGCAAUAGCCAGGGUUGGAUAACCCUCACAUGAUGUCUACCUUCACCAUUGAGUGGCCCUUAAUUCUUGGUCAAUUUUUUUCUUCCCGACUGAGAGGGAAUACGGGAGCAAUAUUGUGAGGUCUCGCACCCCUUGUUUCUUUCCCUUGAGUCUUUUAAGGACUUGCUUAAAUCAUGAUCAUGAUUAUUUGGCACAAGAAUUGAAAGUUCCCAACUCUUUAUCAUGUUAAUUAAUCAUUCCUUCUUAAGUACAUCCUCACUUUAAAAAAGGCAAAAAUUAUUGAUGACAUAUGAACAAAAGGUGGGGGCCCCGAAUUAAAGAGUUCCACAUUCCCAUCAUUCAUUAUGGAGUCUUUGAUUAAAUGUGACUUGACAAUCAAGAUGCCAACAAUGAGCACUGGGACAAUGGCCACGGUCGAUUGGAGCAUCAUUUGAAGUUCUGGCAAAAUCCAAAAAGAAAUCAUGUAUUUAUGUGAAAGGUAUAAUCAUGAUAUGAAAUCGUGUAUUUAUGUGAAAUGUAUAGUCAUGAUAUGGUGAUAGGGCUAGUAAGGACACCUAGAGGGGGGUGAAUAGGUGUUCUAGCAAAUUUACACUAGACUUUUAACAAAUUAACUCGUCUUUCAAGAAUAACAGAUUGAAUAUGUAAAAGACUAUAAGUAGUUAGAUAAAUCUACGAAUUAAAGCAAGGAGUAUAGGGAAAGAGAAUUGAAACACAAGGUUUAUAGUGAUUCGGCUUAGACCAAGCCUACGUCCACUCUCCCGCACUGACAGCCUACUCGCUGGAUUUCACUAUGAACCAAAAGAGAUUUUUACAGUCUCAUGUCCUUGAUUUCACAAUGUAGAAACUCUACUACACUUCCUCAAAGUCUCACAAGUUUUUAAUCUCUCUUUUGAGUACAACUUAAGCUCAAUGAUAGAGAAAGCAAAGAACUAAGAGCUUCAGAUUUUGGAAUUUUUCUUUCACGCACACACUCGAACAACUUGAGCGUCUUCCUUAUAUACUCCUUCAUGUCUCUAUAUCCAUUGACACUUUCCAAAGAAGUUCUUCCAAUCUACCCGUUGGAUAGAAUCAAUCAAAGAUAUCUCGAGUCAUUUAAGCAAUGUGAUGAUAGUCCACAAAUCCUGCUCACCCAUACAAUCAGGAUCUAGAUUUCUAUAAGUAGAACAUUCCAAGUAUACUUCGCCUUUCAAAAGUUCUUGAUUAUUCGAAUUGAUUCCAAUAAGAAUAAUUGAUCACAAUGUGCUAUCUCCAACCAUAAAAUCUUCUCCAAACCGUACGAACCGAAUCCUUAAAGAUAAACUCGUAUUUGAAUAAGUCUUCUCUUCGUUGGUCAAGAAACUGGCAGUGUAAGUUGACUUUAAGUCUUGAGUCUUGUAGUCUUUAGACUUUGACGACAGAGUCUAGAGUUCAUCAUACUUUAAUAAUUGAGUCUUGAAGUCUUCAGACUAGACUGAUGGAAACGUUUUGUCAACUUCAAAAUAAGAGAGUUUUCUCCAACAAUCUCCCCCUUUGUGAUGGUGACAAAACUUUCUUGCAGAUUUGAAUGCCUUUGACCUACAAAACAAAACAUAAGCAGAACAAGAUAUUUCAUAAAAGGUGAGUAGAUUUGGACAAGAAUAGUAAUGAUUAUGCAAUCACAGAAAACACGUUAGUCCUGUAAAAUAACUAUCAUUACUUAAUCAUUGUCAUAGCCUAAGUUACUGUAAGCAUCAAAAAAAUCAAAUCAAACAGUCAAAAAGUCCAAUCCACAACCAAACAAAAGAUAAGUCCAAAAGUCAAAUAAGUCCAAACCAAUAGUCAAAUCUGCAUAUACUUUCUCCCCCUUUUUGUCAACGGCAAAAAGUGGAGAAGAUAAAAAGAAUUGAAUAAAACCAAGGUUUCUUGGGAAUGCGAACAAGCUGGAAAUCCCCCAUAGACUUAACGGUCUUCUCCAACUUCCUCAAAUCCUCCUUCAGUUGUUCUAAAUCCUUCUAAACCCUCACCCUUUGCAUUUGCUUAAACUUAAAGAUUAAGGGCUUGUACUUGGUCGUGCAAAGAAACUGAAGUAGCUUUAUGAGCAUUCUGCAUGGUCUAAAAUUCACAUCCCAACCCAUAAAUCUGAGCUUUAAUCUCCAGAAGAAGCUCGAGCAGUCUUUUAAAGUCUGCUGAAUUGUCAGUUUAAGUACUUGCUUCAACACAAUCAGAUUGUGGAGUAUUAACUGAUGAUGGAACUUCAGUAUGUACAUUCAAACUUGGAGAUGAAGCCUCAUUACCAUUUUCAGGAAAUUGAGAGGCAUACACAUUUUCUGGAUCAGCAAGAGAACGACUAACAUCAUCACUAGUAAAAGCAAGUGAAGAUCCUUCAGGUGGAGAAAAUUACUCUUCUUGUUCUUGCUCUUCUUCAAUAUCACGAAGAUCUUGUCCUUCUUCCUCUGCACGAAAAUCACCAUGAUCCUCUUCUUUUGCUCAUUCUCUUCCUUUCUCUACGUCUUUUGUUCUUCCUUCUUCUUCUUCUUCCCUCAUCACUCCUUUCUCUACAUCUCGCUGCUCUAUCUCUUCUCUGUCUCGGUUCUCUUGAUCCCCUGUCUCUGUAACAAAACUCUGUAAGUUCUUCAAAGCAAGAGCAGAGAUAGUGAUGUCAUCAUCAUCUUCUUCAUCCUCCAAGAUGAGUGCUCUCCUCUUCUUAGAUGGUGCUGUCAUGGGCUUUUUGCUUUUCCUUUUUCCAGCCGCAAAGUCUUGUCAUGCCUUGAUAGGGGUCUUCACCUUAAAGCACUCCAAAGCCUUGUUUAGCUCCUUCAAACGUAUCUUGGAAACCAUUUUCAGUCCCACUACCAUUUGAUCAAUGGUUCGAACACACAGAAUUUUGGAAGGCUGAAUGUUAAGAUGUUUGAACAAACGAGUGACAAGAGCAGAAUAAAGGAGUUGUCCCUUAUCCUUUACCACUGUCCUAUACGUGUACAUAAGGAUAGUGUGAGCUAGAGAGAACUAAAAACCAAUGUUAAUGGCAUACAUCAGCUUUGCUUUAGAGUUUAAGACAUCAGUCUUUAAUAUGGAUUUGGUCUGAGAUAGUUAAUGACAAUCUUGUAAAGUAAGAUAUUGAAGGCAUUCAUCCUAGAGUAAGAAAUUCGGCCUUCAGCAAUUCUAUCUCAAACAAGUGCCAAGGAAGCACGAGCAAUAGACACACUAAUUGGUUGGAAACUCCCUCUUUCCACCCCAAUCACAUCAGCUAGAGUGUUCACAUCAACCACAAAAUCCUAGUCUCUAACACUAAAGGAAAAUCUAUUCGCAUCUAAAACGGAUCAAUUAGAAUAGAAAUAAGCUGUAAGUUUCGAAUGAGUAACAGUUGUUUCAGAGCAAAACCGUUUGAGUUAAAGCAAUGUAAACUUCUCCCGUAACUUCACGGUUAAUGAAUCGAGAAAAUCAAAAUCCACACUCCUAGGGUUCAUCACCCAUCGCUUCAGCAAUUUAGAAUAAGCUUGCUUGUGCUCCUUAGAACGAAAAAAAUCUGUUCUUGUACCACGAAUGUUCGCAGCAACACCCAUCCUGGGCUUAAAAUGUGUGAACAUCCUCUCUCAUCAUCUUUUCCUUUAGUUUGAUUAAAUGAUCCAAACCAUGGAUCACUUGGGAAAUUUGCAAGAGCCCUUUUUGCCGAACCAGCAGUAGCAAUGCUCAAACUCUCCAUCGUCUUUAAAAAAUGAGUUUCAUUUUUGUACCAUUUUUCACUCAAAAACUCAUCAAUAAAGGUCAUUGGAGAACCGCAUUCCUUCAAAGUGGUGUAGAGUUUGAAAAGAAAUGCGGGCUUAAGAGUCCUUACAUGUUCUACAUUCUCGAUUAAAUCUUCAUCUGCUUGUUGUUGCGAAGGCACUUGAGUUCUAGCCUGAGAAGAAUGGCACGGUUGAGAAUAUUGGUGUUGACUUUGCUGAUGCUUUGGAGAGUCUUCUUCCUUGAUUAAAUCAAAGUGCGUAGGACCCUCACGCAUAUGUUGUGGUCCCCUGCUUGCGAUCCUAGAGAACUUUCUUUGGGAAGACAUUGUCACAGUUUUUGAGAGAUUUCUCGAACUCGAUUCGCGAAAAAAGAUGAGAACUUUAUGGAUUGAACUAGUGAAAAAAAAAGAAAAACAACAAUAUAUAAAGCAAACAAAACAAGGUAUAUGAAUCGUCAUAAAAGAAUAAAUAAAAAUGCAUUUUUGAAAUAAAUAAUUGCCUUUUUGAAAAAGAAAAACUGCCAUAAAUUCAAAGACUCAGAAAAGAUAAUUUCUAAAAAUAUAACAAUCAAUUAGUGAUUAAAAAGUAACAUACCUUUUAAAAAUUUAAAAUGCUGAAAUCGAAAUAACUUACAGUAGUAACUUUUAGUUAUUCUAAGUCUGAAUAACUUCAAACUUUACCUCUGAGUCUGAGCAUCUUCAGACUUUACUGGAUAAAGGUUGUGAUAUUCAGUCUGUGCGAAUAGACUCAAAUAGGCUUUUUUCUAAAGGUUUUGUAAAUAUGUUUGCCAGUUGAUUCUUUGAAUCGAUGAACCGUAUCAUAACUUCUCUAUUUUGAACAUGAUCUUUAAUGAAAUGAUGUCGAAUCUCUAUGUGUUUUGCUCUUGAAUGAAGAAUUGGAUUCUUUGUAAGAUUGAUUACGCUGGUGUUGUCACAUUUGAUCUCGAUGCACGAGUUUUCGAUUCCAAAGUCUCUCAGUUAUUGUUUUAACCAUAAAAUUUGAGAACAGCAACUUCCAAGAGCCACAUACUAUGCUUAUGAUGUUGAAAGAGCUAUAGUGCUUUACUUCCUUGAGAACCAAGAUACUGUCAUGUUUCCCAACAAUUAACACGUACCAGAAGUACUAUUUCUAUCAAUUCUACAUCCUGCUAAAUCUACAUCUGAAUAUCCAAUGAGGGUAAAGUCUCAUUCUUUGGGAUACCGUAGACCGAAAUUUGAAGUAGUUGCGAUGUAUUUGAUGAUGCGUUUUGCAGCACUUAGAUGAGAUUCUUUUGGAUCUGAUUGAAAUCUUGCACAAAUGCAAACACUAAACAAAAUGUCAGAUCUGAAAGUAGUAAGAUAAAAAAGUGAACCAAUAAUACUCCUGUAAAGCUUUUGGUCAACUUUCUUUCCUCCUUCGUCUUUGUCCAACUUCGAAGAAUUUGACAUUGGUAUUUCAAUCUUUAUACAAUUCUCCAAUCCGAACUUUUUAACGAGAUCUUUUGCAUAUUUUUCUGGGUGAAUGAAAAUUCAUUCCUUCAAUUGCUUCACUUGUAAUCCAAGAAAGAAAGAUAGUUCACCCAUCAUAUUCAUCUCAAAUUCAUCUUGCAUAAACUUAGAAAAAUUCUUGCACAAGUUUUUGUUAGGUGAUUUAAAUAUGAUAUCAUCAACAUAGAUUUGAACAAGUAGAAAAUCUUUACCUUCUCUUUUAAUAAAUAAAGUAGUAUCCACUUUACCUUUAAGAAAAACCAUUCUGGAUUAGAAACUUACUUAACCUGUCGUACUAGGCUCGAGGUGCUUAUUUUAAUCCAUAUAGAACAUUCUUCAGUAUGAAUACUGAGUCUAAUCUUUUUGGAUCUUCAAAUCCAGAAGGUUGUUCCACAUAGACUUUUUCUUGGAUAAAUCCAUUUAGAAAUGCGCUUUUGACGUCCAUUUGGAAUAACCUAAAAUAUUUAUAGCAAGCAAAAGCAAGUAAUAAUUUAAUUGCUUCUAACAUUGCUACUAGUGCAUAGGUCUUAUCAUAGUCUAUCCCUUCUUCUUGCAUAUAUCAUUUGGACACGAGUCUUGCUUUGUUUCUGACCACUUUUCCUUUUUCGUCCAUCUUGUUUCUAAAAACCCAUUUAGCUUCAAUAAUGGAUUUACCUUUUGGUUUAGGAGUUAAUUCCCAGACAUCGUUGAUGCUAAACUGUCUAAGUUCUUCUUGCAUAGCUUCAAUCCAGCUUUCGUCAGUUAAGGCCUCUUCUAUGCUUUUGGGCUCUAUUUUAGAAAUAAGUGCCAGAACACUAGAAUCUUCUUGCAUUUUGGAUCUAGUCCAAAUCCCUUCAUCAAUGUGCUGAUGAUGAGUUCAUUGGGAUGACUAGACUUAUGCUUCCAGUUAUUGGUCAGUCUGACAAAUUGUUGAUUUUCUACUUCAAUUGAUUAUUCCGUUCGUUGAUGAUCUUUAGAAGUGUGAGUUACUUCAGAGGAGGUAGACUUUGUAAGGUCUGGAGCAGGUUCAGAUUCUUCAAACUGAGUCUAAGUUAGUUGAUUCUGUAAAGAGUCUUGGAAUUUGACAUUCAUAGAUUCUUCUACAGAGUGAGUCUUUUUGUUGAAUACUCUGUAGGUUUUACUUGUGGUGGAGUAGCCAAGGAAAAUUCCUUCAUCUGAUUUCUCUUCAAACUUACUAGUUCAAUCAUUUGCAUUUUUCAAAAUAAAACAUUUGCAAUCAAAUAUAUGAAAAUAAGAAACAAUUGGCUUAUUUCCUUUGAAUAACUCAUAGAGAGUUUUCUCCAUAAUAGGCCUUAAGAAUACUCUGUUAAUAAUAAAACAAGCUAUAGAAACUACUUCAGCCCAAAAACAAGAAGAAAUAUUACUUUCAAUUAAAAUAGUUCUUGCAAUUUCUUACAAAGAUUGAUUUUUUUUUCUUUCCACAACUCCAUUAUAUUCUGGAGUGUAUAGAGAAGAGAAAACAUGCUGAAAACCAGAUUCAUCACAGAAUUUGGCAAAGUCUUGCUUUUCAAACUCACCUCUGUGAUAUGUCCGUAUGCUUGAAAUAGCAUAUCCUUUCUCAUUCUAAACUUUCUUAGCAAACUUUGAAAAGUAAGAAAAUGUUUCAGACUUACUUGCCAGAAAGUAAACCCAAGUAAAUCGUGAAUAAUCAUCCACAAUUACUAGGCAAUAUCUCUUUCCACUAAUGUUUUGAGUUCUGGUUGGUUCAAAAAGAUCCAUAUGCAGAAGCUGCAAAACACGAUUAGUAAAGAUCUGAUUUAUUAGUUUAAAAGAGCUUCUAACAUGUUUUCCCAACACACAUGGUGUGCAUAAGUCAAACUUUUGAUACUUCAGGUUGGGCAGUCCACGAACAAGAUUCUUGGAUGAGAUCUUGGCAAUUUGCUUUAUGUUAACAUGGCCAAGCUUUUGAUGCCAAAGAUUUGAUUCAUCUUGAAUCAAUAUUAGACAUUGAGAUCUUUCUGGUUUUAUAUCCAGAAGAUAAAUGUUCUCAUGUUUUCGUCCAGUAAAAGAUUGAGAAAGAUCUUUACUAGUUCCCAAACAUAUUCUUUUUUUGGAAGUUGAUUUUGAAUCCAGUGUCACACAAUUGGCUAAUGCUUAGUAGAUUGUAAUUUAGUCAUUCCACUAAGGACACAUUGUUGAUUGUGAGACUUCCAAUUUUUACGGUUCCACACCUAAUAAUUCUUCAUUUGUUGUUUCCACCGAAAGAGACUUUUCCACCAUUUAUUUGCACAAGUUUUAUAAAACAACUUAAAUCUCCAGUCAUGUGUCUUGAACAAUCACUAUCCAAAUAUCAUUUAUUUAUUUUUUUAUAGUGACCUGCAAUUACAAAAAGAACUUAAGUUUUCUUUGGUACCCAGAUCUUUUUCGGUCCAGCGGAGUAAGUUUUGAACACAGUCUCUCCCCAAUCCUUCUUAACAUGUCUCCAAACCAUAAGACAAUCUUUCUCAAAAUGUUUUGAGCUGUUGCAUUUUGAACAUUUGAGAACACUUUGGCCAACAAGUUUUACAAAGACCUUUUUAAAAUGAUUUCUAUAAAAAGUUCUUGUAGGUCUUUGUUUGAUUCUUUUCUUUACCUUUGGAAAAUCAAUUAAAGGAAUGGUUUAGGGGGUCAUUCACAAUCUUGACUUGUUGAAAUAAGGUCUUUGUACUGAAACAAUAUUUUCCAACUUCUCAGAUUCUAUUGAAAAUCUUUUUGAAAUAUUUGAAAUUUCUUAUUUCAAAAAUAUAUUUUCUUUUGAAAGAGAGUUUGCAUUUUCUUUUAAAAUCACAAAAAUUUUGUCUAGAUUUUCAAACUUUUCUUUUCAAGAAAUUUCUUGUUGCUUAAGUGUAGAAUUCUCCCUUUUUAGCUCAAAAAUCCUCUUAAGAGAGGUUCUGAGAUUGAGACAAAGUUCAUCAACGUAUUUCGAGAUUUUAGUAAGAAUUUUUAAAUUGCUUACCUUGAUUUCAUUCUCUAAGUCUGAGUUUGAGUAUAUUUUAGAGUCUAAGGGCGCAUUUGGCAACGAUUCUGUUCCUGGGAGCUGAUUCUGACUAGAAAUGAUUAUUUUUUAUUCUGUUCCCGGGAACUGAUUCUCAGUAAAAAAUUGCGUUUGGUAACUGUCCAAAAUUUUUUAUUCUAGAAUAGAAUUGCAUUUGAUACCGUGUUAAUUGAUUCUGUUCCAAAUUAAUUUCUUUUGAUUUUUAAAUAAAUUUUAAAUAAUUUGUUUACUUUUUUUCUUUUCUUUUUUCCUUUUUUUCUUUUUUUUUCCCUUUUUUCCUAUUCUUCUUCUUCUUCUUCAUCUGGCCGGUCGCCGAACCAGGGACCGGCCAGACGAGGGCUGGCGACGCUCACCGGAGCGUCGCCGACCCUCGGCGAGGUCGGCCUUCGUCGGCCGAGCCUCGCUGGCAGCUGGGCAAGGCUCGCCCAGCCUCACCGGUGGCCAGGUUGGCCUCACCCAGCCUCGGCGAGGCCAGCUUGGCCACCAGCGGGGCUAGGCGAGCCUUGCCCAGCUGCCAGCGAGGCUCGGCCGACGCAGGCCGAAGGAUUGCCCAGCCACCGGCGAGGCUCGACCUCGCCCCGAUUUGGUGAGGCCGAGCCUCACCCAACUGCCGGCGAGGCUCGCCUGGCCACUGGCGAGGCUCACCCAGCCCCGCCAGUGGCUGGGCUUGCCUCCGGUGACCUUGCCAGACCGGCGACCGGCGGUGGACGGCAGCGGUGGGCGGCGGCGGACGGCAGCGGGCGAUGACAGACGGCAACUGGGAUGACGAAAGGGAAGAGAGGGUUUUACCGUUUUGAUUCUUUUUCUGAUUCUCGGAUAGAGAAUCAAAUUUUUUUUUUUUUAUUCUCAAAUCUUGUCCAAAAUUGUUCCCGGGAACAAAAAUUUUACGAAACGCGAUUAUCGUCCCAAACUGAUUCUGAGAACAAAAAAUCAGAAUUUGGCACUGUUUGGCACGUUGCCAAACAGGCCCUAAGUCUGAUCUUGAUUUUGCCAUUAGAUAUAUAUUGACAUAAUCUUCGCCACUUUCUUCACAUUCGGUAUCACUCAUUGUCUCUACUUUGAGAGGUUUUCUGUAUUUCUCAGCUUUUCCCUUAUUUUUCUUCAACAGAGGACAGUUGAGUCUGUUGUGUCCAUUUUUCUUGCAUUCAAAACAAAUUACAUAUUUGUUGGCUUCAUCAUCCUUAGUUGAUUUUUUUUUUUAACUUUUGAGUACUUUGUUUUUUCUAAUUGAAUCUCCUUCCUUUUUUGUUCAGUUUCCUGAACCUCCUUAUCAUAAGUGCUAGCUCUUUAUCGUCCAUAUCAUCUUCAAAGUCUAUAACAUUAUAAUCAUCGUUAGAUAUUAAAGCAACUAACUUAUUACCUUUAGGAUCUUCUUCCUCGUUGAUUUGCUCCACUUCAUAAGACUGAAGUGUGCCAAUCAACUCGUCUACAAAAAGUGGCAUGAUCAUUUGAGUUUCCCUUAUUAAAGUCUUCAUGUAAUUCCAGUCUUUGGAGAGUUCACGUAUCAAUUUGUUAACCUUUAUUGGUCUUGAGAUUGGUUGUCCCUGAUACUCCAGACCGUUUACAAUCUCUGUAAAAUGACUAAACAUGUCAGUGAUAGAUUCUCAUGGUUUCAUCUUGAAAGCUUCAUACUGUCCGAUUAGAAUAUUGAUCCUUAUUUCUUUCACUCGAUUAGUGCCUCCAUAGGUAAUGUGCAGCCUAUCCUAGACUUCUUUGACUGUUUCACGAAAAGAAAUUAUGUUACACUCAGUAGGAGAUAAAGCACAAUAUAAAGAAUAAAUUGCUUUAGCAUCAAGAGCUUGUCUCUUGGUUAUUUAUUCUUGCGUUAUCUAGCUAGCAUCUGCAACUUCUUUUCCUCUUUCUGAAGCUAUGUAGCUUUAGAAAUGAUUCCUUUUUUCUACUACAUCUCAUUCUAGAGAAUCUUUCGAUCUUAGGAAUGCCUUCAUUUUGUUUUUCCAUACGUUGUAUUCAUUUCCAUCAAAGUAAGGAGUUCUAGUGUUGCUUUAGCCUUCAACCAAACCUGGAGCCAACAUACUAGUCAUAGAUCCUUAACUCAUAAGUAAAAAACACUUCAAUUAAAUGAGCACAUAGGUUCUGAUACCAAUUGAUAGGGCUAGUAAAAACACCUAAAGGGGGGUGAAUAAGUGUUCUAGCAAAUAUACGCUAGACUUUUAACAAGUUAACUCGUCUUUCAAGAACAACAGAUUAAAUAUGUAAAAGACUAUAAGUAGUUAGAUAAAUCUACAAAGUAAAGCAAGGAGUAUAAGGAAAGAGAAUUGAAACACAAGGUUUAUUAUGAUUCGGCUUAGACCAAGCCUACAUCCACUCUCCCGCACUGACGGUCUACUAGCUGGAUUUCACUGUGAACCAAAAGAGAUUUUUAUAGUCUCACGUCCUUGAUUCCACAGUGUAGAAACUCUACUAUACUUCCUCAAGGUCUCACAAGUGUUUAAUCUCUCUUUUGAGUACAACUUAAGCUUAGCAAUAGAGAAAGCAAAGAACUAAGAGCUUCAAACUUUGGAAUUUUUCUUUCAUGCUCACACUCAAACAACUUGAGCGUCUUCCUUAUAUACUCUAUCAUGCCUCUAUGUUCGUUGGCACUUUCUAAAAGAGUUCUUCCAAUCUACCCGUUGGAUAGAAUCAGUCAAGAAAAUCUCGAGUCAUUUAAGGAAUGUGAUGAUAGCCCACCAAUCCUGCUCACCCAUACAAUCAGAAUCUAGGUUUCCAUAAGUAGCCUUCCAAGUAUACUUUGCCUUUCAAAAGUUCUUGAUUAUCCAAUUUCCAAUAAGAAUAAUUAAUCACAAGGUGCUAUCUCCAGCCGUAAGAUCUUCUUCAAACCAUACGAACUGAAUCCUUAAAGAAAAACUCGCAUAUGAAUAAGUCUUCUCUUAGUUGGUCAAGAAAUUGCCAGUGUGGGUUGACUUUGAUUCUUGAGUCUUGCAGUCUUCAAACUUUGACGACAGAGUCUGAAGUUCAUUAGACUUUAAUAAUUGAGUCUUGAAGUUUUCAGACUAGACUAAUGGAAACGUUUUGUCAAAUUCAAAAUAAGAGAGUUUUCCCCAACAUAUGAAUCUUCCAUUUUGAAUGAGGUUGUCUUGGGACCCUUGGGAUUGUCUCGAUUUGGCCUUUAGGCUAACGAUUAUGGACAAUUGGCAGCAAAGGUUGGCUAAGUUUGUGACGCUAAUCCCUCAAAAAUGAUUCCAUAGGGAUUCAUAGUAUUAUCCAUAUUGUGCUUUUCUUUUUGUCGGCUAUUACUUUUGGCCACAGCAAUUUGUCUUAUUGUCUUUUUGCAUUGGAUCAAACAUAAACUCACACUUGUAUGCACAAUAGAAUUGAUUAAUUAGUUAUGUAUUUACUCUAUGUUUGAGAACAUAUCGUUAAUGGACAGCUCGUAAUUAGGAACUUCCACUAUGGUUGUAAUUGAUAAUAAACCUAUCUUAUUUGACCAUUUGGACUAAUGUGAGGCUUCUCUUAGUUAAUUCAACUCUUUUCAUGAAAUAAAUUUCACUUAAAUCUUUUGAGUGCUUGGUGUAAGCACUUUCCUUAAAUCCAAAAAACAAUGCUUAGAAUUCAAUAAUACAAACCAAUCUAUGGUCCACUAAAGAUUUUGCUUUUUUUUUUCUAUUUGGCAUUAGUAAAUACAUUUUGAAGCACUCCUUCGUUGAGUACACAUAUGAGAUAAAAAAAAAAAUUGCUAUAUUUCACUUUUUGGAAUACAAAGAAGUAGUCAAUGAUUCUCAAAAGAGAAGAUCGUGUAUCAAAUGGCAACGUUUGGCCUCAGUUUGAUAGACUCACAUGUGAGAGGAGUAUAUUUAGUGCACAUGUGAGGCGAGAAAUAAAGAAAGCCUCACAUUGGGUAUUUGAAGUGAAAAGGAACGGAGCAAUUGUAAUACCGUAAUUUUCAAAAGGAGGUCAUGGUGAAUUAGAAAGAGUGGAUCAUGUGCACCAGUUAAAAUUGGAUGGCAUGAUGACAUGCUAAAUAAUCAGGAGUUAUCAACCACCACUCCUCAAAAUUAUGUCCUAAAUUUCCAUAAAUGUAUCACAUUAAUUAGCUAAUUCAAGAUUUCACUAACAGUUGUGUUAAGAGAAAUGGACAUAUAUCUUUUUUAUUCAUAGGAGUUAACAGAAGCUAAAGGCAUUUCUUCUUUUGGUCCAUCAGCUUUGACGUCUGCAAGGAAACCUCCCAAUUAGAGAUACCUUUGACGUUUCUUCUUUCUCAAAUUGGAUAGACAAAAAGGCAAAUGGAAACCCAAGUAAUCUGAAUGAACUAGUAUAUACUUCCCCAAUAAGCCUGAUUGCAAGGGUUACAAAAUUACCAAUUAACAUUCGAAUUCCUACCAAACAUAAGUUCAUCGAACAUCAAAGGUAAGAAAAGAGAUGAGCAUCUAUUGAUAUAUAUUCCAACUUCAGGAAAUGACCAAAAAUUAAGUCGAUCUAUAACCAUAGUAAAAGUAUGUAGUAUAUAAGUUCUUUUCAAUCCAUAACCAAAAGCUUAACAAUCAAAUUGAUGAGCUAAAUGCAUCUUUUCAAUCCAAGGGGGAUCCAACCUAGUCAAUAUAACUUCUUAUCCUCCCAAGUUCCUGAAGCAUCCUAUCACGCCCCGAUCCUCGAGCACGCACCCAUCCCUCACCUAGUCAAUUAAUAGUGAUGUCCCAGGAUGCAUCGCUGACCCUUUCAUUUUUAAUAUACACAUGCGGAAGCAGAUAUAAAUUCUCAGACAAUAAAAUAAUGGGAUAGGAAAGUAGGACUCCAAAUUUUCACACUUUGAAAACAACCACACUUAUAUACAUUGCAAACCAUAAUGUAUAUAUAUACAAGGCGAUUUAUUAAAUCAGGUCUUAGGCAGCCAGUUCACAAAAUAAAGUCUACAAAAAGGAAUUGACUUCCAUCAAAAGGGAAAUGUCUUACGACCAGCUAGCCGGACAAGAUCACCAAUUCUUCGGGCUUCACCUCUUAAACUUCGGGGCUUCCAAUCCUUCACCCACACCAUUUAAGGACCUAAAAAUGGUUAUACAAUAAUCAGUGAGACAAUGUCUCAACGAGUUCUACCCCCCCAAAGACUCAAUUAGAAGACCAAUAUGUCACAAGAGCCGUCUAUGCACAACAGAAGUCAAAGGACUUACCUUAGCCUUAGAUUCCACUUGCAAUUCAAUACAGUUCAAUAGGCACCCAAUCAAUCACCAUAGAUCGAAAUAUCGAUCAAUCGAUCUAGUUAAUUACAUGUCAUCACGACCUUCCCCCCCUGGUCAUUUUAAAUAAAUAUCAUACAUUCUCUAAGAUGGAAUAUCUGGUCAUCAAGACCAUGUGCAUUCUUCAAGAUAACAUACCGAGUCACCAAGCCCACAUGCCUUCUCCAAGAUGACAUACCUAAUUACCGAGACUACAUGCAUUCUCAAAGAUGAUGUACCUAGUCACCAAGCCCACGUGCCUUCUCCAAGGUGAUGUAUCAAGUCACUGAGUCAACAACUCAUAAUGUCUUUCUUCGAGACGACAUGCUUAAUCAUUGAGCCGACAUAAUAUAACGCAUUUCUCUUAGACGACAUCCUUAGUCAUUGAGCCAGUGUGAUAUAUUGCAUAAUCAAUUUCUCAUUUUUAUCAUGCCCGGUAAAGAUACACGUGUGUAGGUACACGUCCAACCUUAGCCAAAAUAGUAUAAUUUCCUUUCCACAAAUCUCACUAUUUUCUGUAGUCCACCAAAAUAUCUUUUUGGCAUUGUCAACCAAUGCCCGGUUGUCUUUCAAUUAAUUACUCAAAAAUAAUUAAUUUAGGAAUAAAUCCUAAAAAUCAUAAUUAAAUCAAUUCAACGCAAAUUAAAACUCAAAUAAAUAAAUAGAUUGUACCGUGGUAAUCAGCAUAAAAUUCCGAUCACCAACUAUCCCGGUUGAAUUUCCAGAAAAUAAAUAAAUAAUUAAUUACACAAAUUAAUUAUUAAAUAGCAAUAAAUCCAACUUAGGCCCGUAAUGCCUAAUUGGUCGCCGAAACGGACCCGGAAAAAUUCUGAGGUUCGUUCAAUAAAUACUAGAACCUAUCGACUCACUAAUGGCUACAUCUAACCACCUAACAUGCAUUGGCAAAUCACUAAUUUAAUUACUCUAAUCUAAUCUAACCACAUAAUCAUGCUUAAAUAAAUCUAUUCAAUUCCUAAGCAUCAUUAGUCUACUAAGUGAGGAUUAGUGAGUUUAACUCACUUGUUUAUCGAAUUGUUCGGUUCAAUUUGACGGAAACGCGACAGGAGCCGACUUUCUCCAAAGCGGCCUAGGUUUCGAGGCCCGGAACCAUCUCAAAACGGGCCAAACAACACCUCAGAAACCCACUAUAUUUCUAUUAUGUUCUUGCUAAAACAUAAGGGAACAAAGCCGGUUUAGAGUGGGAAUUGAUCGGGAAAGGGUCAAAGGGUUAAACCAGGCUUUGGCGGAGGCUUACCGGUGGAGGAACAGCGAAGGACAGCUCCGGUUGAGCUUCACACGACCCAGGGCAACAGCUAGGACGUGCACUAGACGGGGAAACACGCAUGGAAGGCAAGCUGGACGCAGCUGUGAGAACGGGAUCGCGCGAGUGGCAUGCGACGGCGCCAUCGGCGAUGGGCGGCUCCUGCUGUCUCCGGCGAUGCUACUGGCUUCCGCUGGCUUCUUGCUAGCUGCUGGUGGUUGAAUAGGCUGGGAGGAGAGGGAAUGGCUGGCCAGUUGGCUUGAGGAGCAAGGAGACGGGACAAGGGCUCCACCAAUGUCCAAAUUUUCCAUUCCUUAGUCUCCCUUAACCAUUCUCAGCCACCAGCCCUUCCUUGGCCUCCAUUAGGCCACCAAUGCUCCCCCUUGCAACCUUGAAAUGGUCCAAAAGGCUAGGCAAUGGGGGGCAUACGAAUUUCCUUUAAUUUCUUCUCAAUUGGCCAUCAAUCCUUCCUUGAAUCAACACAAACCAGCCUUAAUAAAUUCAAUUGACCAUCAAUCCUUCCUUGAAUCAACACAAACCAACCUUAAUAAAUCCACCAAUGUCCAAAUUUUCCAUUCCUUGGUCUCCCUUGACCAUUCUCAGCCACCAGCCCUUCCUUGGCCUCCAUUAGGCCACCAAUGCUCCCCCUUGCAACCUUGAAAUUGUCCAAAAGGCUAGGCAAUGGGGGGCAUACGAAUUUCCUUUAAUUUCUUCUCAAUUGGCCAUCAAUCCUUCCUUGAAUCAACACAAACCGGCCUUAAUAAAUUCAAUUGACAUCUCAAUUAUCAAAUUGGUAUUUUUCAUCACCAAUUGGUCCAUCUUGCAUCACCAUUGCGUGAUAAAAAAUGAUCUCGGCCUUUUUUCCGAACAAAAACGGCCCUACCUCGACUUUUUCCCAAAAAGUCUCCGUUUGCAGAAAAAUCUUCUGAGACUGAGUCGACGUUCCUAUAAUUUAUUGUGACAUGACAGAAUCUUCAAUUUUUGAAAUCAGACUCAAUUUCGCAAUAAAUUUUCAUUUUGUGAGUUUUUAGCGUGACCUAGGCUACCGGGUAACUUUCAGAACUUUUUCAGUGCAAUUGACCCGUAAUCAAUUUUCUUCGAACCACAAUGAACCUACUCGAUACAUUGGCAACUCUUGGUUGUCAUAAAAAUCUUAAGAAUUCAAAUAUAGACACAGGGUACCAAAACAAUAAGAAAAUUAGUCUAGUGUCAGCCAACGAGAAUUUUCCAAUUUAGUGGGGUCUCACGGCGUAAUAGCCUCUAAAGAUAAGCACAAUUGAGUAGCCGAUUUCUGGUUGAAUUCUCAAGUCUAUUGCCUUAAAAUUCCUUAACGGCUUCCCUAGAUAGUCUAGUUAUCUCAAGAGUGAUCAGCUUUGAGAACAGCCCUAUAAGCGCAUCAAUGAAAUGCCCGAUUAAUUCAAUAUAAAAUAGGAUGGAAAAUUUGGGAUGUCACACAUACCAUCACUUUUCCUCAAGAGCACAAUUGCUGUUGGAUCACUCUGCAAGAAUCCAUUAAUCAAAGUCAAUUAACCUUUUAGCAAGCUUAAAUUUAGGGAGAAGAAUAUAGAGGAAACGCAAAAAAGCAAAAAUCUCUUGCAAUUGACUGUACUUUUUGAAAAUUUUAUGACUCAAUUGCAUUUCCACGAUAAGUUUUAGAGCUUCUGGUGCAGUUAUUCUUUCAAUUGUUCGAUUUGUAACUACAAACAUAUUACAUCUAAUUCAGCUCUUAAUCAUCAAAUUCAAAUUAUUGCACUAUUCCAUUUACAUUGCCAAAAGACAUAUACAUAUAAUCUCCCUUUCCACAUAGACAUAUAGAUAUAGAUUUUAACACUUUUUGUUCCUAUGGACGUGGACUUGUAAACUAAGCUGCGAGGACUCAACGGAUUGGCUCUAUUCCCCAAAAUUGGCUUCUAUUCCUCUGCAACCCUUCGGUCUCUCCUUUGUUUAGAUUUCCCUUGCCUGGGACUCUUUAGACCAUGUUCAUAAUUUCAUUAAAAUUUUCUUUGACGAAAAAGGAAGAACUUCACCUUAUCUCUUGCCCUCAUAAAAUGAUCCACAUGAGUCAAUUCUUUCUUUUCUUUCUUGGGUCCAUCCAACUUGUCCAAAUCAAUAAUUGCGAGUGAGCAUCAGACGAAGAAGAUAAGACAAAACAAUGGCAACAAUUAUUUAAUUCUAUGUUUAGACUUUUCAACUAACGGUGCCCCGUGAGUUGGUUAGUAAUGAAAAUUAUUAUCUUUUGGCCAAAAAAAAAAAAACCCACCCCGUGAGGGAGGGAGGGAGCGUCGCGGGGCAUAUAUAGUGCUAUCCUCCUGGGAGGGAACGUCGCGGGGCAUAUAUAGCGCUAUCCUCCACUAGGAAAAAAUUCUCACUUCUUUGCAGGUCGCGUAAGCAUUGGCGCAACAUCAUUCAUCAAUUUGCUCGGUUCUUCUUAUGAGGGUAUAUGUGCAAGCAACUACUUCCACUCACAUUAUAUCUCGCUGAAUUCCGUGUUGAAUCAUUUCAACCUCGUGCCCAGAUCAUAUGAUCAAUUCAUCAUGAUGAAAAGGUAAAUUGGCUCUUGGAUUGAUGCUUCAUAGUAUGUUUGUAGACUCACCGUUCGCAUUGAACUACCUCCACAGAGUUCUCUUGAUGGAGAACAAUAACUGUCCACAAAAUCAUCCGAGUUGCCAAUUCUUUCCUCCUCCAUCGGCAUGGAUCUAUCAGAAUCCCGUACCAUACGAUGACUAUAAAACUCCAACGUGGGUUAUUGUUGGUUUAGUCAUUGUUGCGGUCAUGCUUUGUGGUUUCCUUUUCUGCUGCAUUUGGCGCAAAUAUUGGCUGGGGCCGCCGGGGAAGGAUGGGCUUCAAGGGCCACCAGGGCCACAGGGACCAAAGGGGCCGCAGGGGCCGCUAGGGCCACCGGGGCCACAAGGGCCGCCGGGGCCACAGGGGCCACAAGGGCCACGGGGGCCAAAGGGGCCGCAGGGGCCAAAGGGGCCGCCGUGCAAGUCGUGCAAGUCGUGCAAGUCGUGCAAGUCGUGCCAGUCUUGCCAAUCGUGCAAGUCAUGCCAGUCGUGCCAGUCGUGCCAGUCGUGCAAGUCAUGCCAAUCGUGCCAGUCGUGCCAGUCGUGCAAGUCGUGCCAGUCGUGCCAGUCGUGCAAGUCGUGCGAGUCGUGCGAGUCGUGCGAGUCGUGCGAGUCGUGCUAGUCGUGACGGCCGUGCUCGCCAGGGCCACCGUGUCAGUGGCUGUGAGGGCAACAACAGUGGCAAAGCGGGGGUGGCAACAACUGCAGUGGGGCAAUUAGCCGGCACAGAUGGCCCAUUUAUUUGUGAGAAGUGCAAGCAUGGAAGAGUACCAGCUUGUCUAAUCUAGACAAUAAUUGAGACAAAAAUUACAAUAGUCUUUCUUAUCUUAUUGUAUGCUUAUGAAUUUAGAAGCUUCUAUUUAUGUUUGUGUGUGAAACUUGAACGAUGCACAGUGAUAGAUCAUCUACUCUACUAUACAAUGUUGGAGAUUCGAAUCGAUGAAUAACUUUUGUGUUGGAGGGAUUUUCGAAUUUCUUACAUGAACAGUUUUAUGGUCAUCAAUAAAUAAAAUUUUGAAUUAUAACGAAUUAUAACUAUAUGCAUUUUUUUGUAAUUUAUAUACAAAAUGUCGUAAAUCGACCAAUCAAUCCAACAUACAUAAUAAAAGAGUUCCUGCUUUUGGUGGAGAACCGUUUGACAGAUUUGCUUUAUUAUUGCCUCAUAUUCCAAAGAGAGUCAUCGGAACUAAGUCGGCUAGUGAUACCGACAAAAUAGAACGGACUAUUUUAUCAGAUUUUUUGGGUGGGCUUUGUACUCCAAUCUGUACGGGGGAAACUAUUAAUCCCUACUCGAAAUGAAGUGAUGAGGAAGGACAUAUCCAGGAAGUGUUUCAUGAGUGAAUGGAAGUGCGGUUGUGGCAUAUAAUCCUGAAAGUCUUAUGAUCAGUGGAUGAGACGACAUCAAUUGUUUCUCAUAGGAUCCAGCUAGCAUAACGAUUCUUUAAUUUGUAUCGGUGUUGUUGUGGCUACAGUUUUCCAUUGCCAAAAGAUGGAAAUCGGAAGGGCAAAAGGAGCAGUGGGAUGGGAUCGUCAUAGUUUAUCUAAAGAAAUAAAAUCCAACUAAUGAUGCCUAAUGAAACACCGCAUUGCCUUUUUAGUAACUUCCAUUGUUCAUUGAUGUAAUUAGGCUUAGCCUCGUCGCCCUCUAAGGGACCAUGCGCUAACUUGCAAGAAAUCAAAACCAAUAUCUUGUCUUUCCAUGUACUAUAAACUUCUUUAUGACGAAAAAAAUAGAAAAGUAAAAAGAUGAACAAUUAUCAAAAAAUUAUUGGGCUUAGACAUUGCACUACUAGACAACCACACCACCAAUCAAACAUGAGGCUUGAUAGAGUCGGAAGAUAAAGCAAUCGAAUGGCAUGACCAGGCUAUGCAAAAGGUACAGUAUAUGAUUAGGAAAAAUAGAUAGAAACAUCUUACGUAACAAGUCAAAUGAGUAGAAUCGAGCUUUUAAUAAUGGAGUUUGAAUCGAGUUCAAUUUCGAGCCCUAUAUACUAUAUUGAGUCGAGCUCGAGCACAGGGAUUUGAAACUGAAUUUUGUUCACACUCAUGAUUCAAUGUCAAAGCGUUGAUUUCCAGUCAGACUUUGCAUAGAGAAACUACUUCAAAUCAAUAAAUAGCUCGAUUGCAUCUUUAUAAUUUUUUUGUUAAAUGAAAUACAUUAUCUUACAGUCUUUAGGGCAUUGACCCCACUAAAAAUAUAUGAUAGUUCCAUCCCUGCAUGUUGACAAGUAUGAUGCAAGUUGUCUUCAAAAUUUCACAAGCCUCCUCCAAAACAUGAACAUAUCCAAUCAAAGCCCGAUUCCUGAAAUAUAAAACUGCAAUCAAUCUUGCAAGAAAGUUUGAAAAAAGGAAUAUUGGAGCAUCUCUUCUUAUCGUGCCCCUGAACGAAACCGAUUUGGACGAACCCCGCAGUAAACAUCCAUUUCUCAGAUCAUAUUAUAACACGAAUUGAAGUGUUAUUGACUGGGGCAGUUCUGGGAAAAGCAAGUAAAAUGCUUUGGGCUGAUGAGGACACAACUGGGGCAGAAAUCAUAUUUUUCACGACGACGGAGACCAUAAAAUCAAAUGCUAUUGGUCGAUGAGACAAAAAAAUCAAAGAUGCCGAUGAGGACGCGAUUGGGACAGAAAUCAUACUUUUUCACGACCACGAAGACCAUAAAAAAAUGCUAUUGGUCGAUGAGACAAAAAAAUCAAAGAUGUAGCUGACCCAAGCUUUCGAGACUGAGUGCAGGGUAGUCAGAGGAAAAUGCGGAAAAUUUCCCUUACUUGAUGGAUUUCCAAAAUUAUUGAUACAAAGUUCGAGAGAACCGGCAACAAUUCAUCAAAAACUAACCUAAUGUAGAAUCAAUUUCUUCCCAAGAUUAAAUGGACCAAAAUCGACUCAACUCCUAUAAUAACAGGCAAUAUAUUCCCGCAAUAUAAUCUCAUAAUGAAUAAAAAUAAUGCCAAAAUGAUAAAGACAGACAAAAGCAAACACGACAAGUUUAUGUCGAAAAUUCAAUGCGAAAAAAAUUAUGGACAAUUCAAAAACUUUCACUAAUCACAAAAAAAUAGUAAGAUGCACAAAGGUUCUUCUUUAGUAAUAUAUUAGAGAUUCAAUAUCAACAAUAUAAUGACAUUUCAUCACUAUAAAAGUGGAUUAAUACAUAUGAAGUAAGAAACCCUAAUCACAAUUGGAGAAAUUUGAGAUAAUUUAGAAAAAGUGUUCAAUGAACAAAACGAAUUGACAAAUGAAACCGAUGGACUUGCCUGUCUCAACUCAUCUAUCUCGGUCUUAUAACAAUGUAUUGAAAUUUGAGUCAACUCCGACAAUAUUUGGCAGCCCAUUUCCUGUCUUCUCCGAACGAGCAGACCGCCUUUCUUUUCCUUUAUUGCAUUUUUGACUUUUUGACCUUUUCUUUUAUUUAUUAACAUUAACCGAGCGCCACACAAGCAGACCUAGCCAACAUUAAUAUCUAGUAUAGUCAAUAAAUAAAUAAAUAAAAGCGGGACCAUCAAUUUGAUUGCCAAAUAACCUAUCAAUAACUUAUCAAUGCCAUUAGAAACUUACCAACUUUGAAAUGAAUUAAAGUAUAACCAACUCUUUGGAAAUUUUACAAGCAUUGUAAAUAAAUUGCAAACACUAUAAUAAGUCAAUUUAUAAACUUACCAACUUCUGGUCACUCUCCUUAUCAUUUUGAUUUUUUCAUUUGUUGAUGAUCUCUAAGUACUCCCUCCAAAUGUCUCUUUUCCAUGUGAUGAAAUUAAACUCAUUAUGUGAUCCACUUGAAUCAGAUGGUUGAAACAGGAGGGUUGUUUUUGGAGGCCUAUAAGGACAAACUACGAGUAAAAUGUAGCCUGUGAUUGAGUGCUUGAAACAAGAAAAAUCGAAACAUAUUGAGUAUUCUUGAUAUCUAUCUCUUUGCUGCUUCAUUUAAUCUAUUUAGUUUUGAACCUAGAAGUUAGCAAGGGUGCCAAAAUCAUUUGUAUACACAUGGAAGAAGUGGUCAUGCUUAGAGAGAAUGCAAUUGUUUAGGUAAGAGACGAAAUAUGCGAAUGAUUAUUUGUAAACACUUAGAAGUGUGGUUAAAUGAUUUUGGGGGAGAGUAUGUCUACCGUGUUGUGUGCACAAGGGGUGAGAACAGCUAUUGAAAGAGAUCUAAUAAUUAUUUAGUCUAUAGUGAGAUAGCCAUAGAAGGAGUCGAGUCCGCACGAUACAAAGUUCUUAGCAAUUGCACUAUUGGCUGAAGUAGUGAAUUUCAAUCUAAUGGGACUGCUAGAGCUAGAAGAGAAAGCAUAUCCUAAUUGAAACUCUAUAAAUAGCUUUUGUAAUUUCUUUUUCCCUAAACUCUAUAAGUUCCUUAUUGCAAAUUAACAGUUCAAUUCCAUAUUAAAAAAACAUUUUUAAAUAAGGUGCUCGUUCUAGAAGGAUAAAUAUUUUUAUAUGUAUAAAAAAAAACACUUCACCCUUCUUUUAUGUAUUUGGACCUAACAAUAUGGAUUGCCAUGUUGGAGGUGUCAAAUUUUGUAAUACUACAGUAAUGUAACUUGCGAGCCUCGUUAAUAAUUUAAAGGAUUUUACUAAGGACAAUGAAAAAAAAAAUCAUUAUUUUUGAAUUUUUUUUAUGAGAACUUGAGAUGGAGCUCGAAGCUUUACACUAUUAUUUAGUUUUUAAUAUUAGAGUUGGAUCAAGUCUAAUGCGAGUAAAUAUAUUGUAUUGAGUUGAGUGCGAGCACAAGAUUGAGAAAACCGAAUUGUCAUAUUUUCGAGAUAAUUGCACAAUCUCUCCUCAAAUUAUUAUACCGAAAUUUCAAACCUAUCAAGAUAUAAACUUUUUAACUGAAAUAAUGCGGUAUUAAACUUACAAGGGAAAAUGCAAUAAAACAUUUUAGCUAAAUCUCAUUGAAAUCAUCUAACGUGACGUUUCAAUUAUUUUUUACUACUUAAGGGUAACGAUGACAGCAUGACAUGAUAAGACGAUGCUGUUUUUCUUCUGAUUUAAGCACCCGAUAGAGAAAUGUCAAUAGGCUUAUUUUUGGAAUUUAAUGCUCUCCCUUGCGCCUGAUUGUAGGCCAAGGCACGAAAUAAUAUAAUGGGAAUCCAUCCUUGUCCGAAAGUAGAUGCACUAUCUGAUCAUUCAUUGUCUCGGUAAAAGGCGAUGAUUACAUGCUUCCGUUGGCCAGCAAUUAGUACACUGCUAAGCUGUCAUCAAAAUAGGUUUGCAUCUCCAUAAUUUUAUCCUUUUGUUUGUUGAUGCGAUAGCUAAGAAAAAUCUUCUGUACAUGUUUCUUUUGGCUUUACAUAAUCUCCUCCAUUCAAAAGGUGCACUAGUGGAGGUACCAUACAUCCUCGACGACGGUGACAACGGCGGCGGCCACCAUGAGGUUGUUGACACCUCAUCAGGCUUUGCCGACGAUGAGGUUGUUGGUGCCUCACCAGCGUUCUCCCGCAAUCGCGGCGAUAAGGUCGGCGUCGCGGCCUUCCCCCGUUGCGGCGAUUGCGGCACUGACGUUAUUUUUGGAAUAUUAAGCUUCAAUAUCAAUUUCGGUGAAGUGGCGGUUCUGUCCCCGGGACCACGACGAUUUUGAUAAUAACACCGACGGCUACGGCGACGACAAUGAUGACUACGCUGAUGGUGAUCCACCUCGAAGUGUCCCGGCAUGCAGCGAUGUCGUGCUGAUGGAGGAGGGAAGUAUGGGAAACCUGAACAACCUUGUGGACAGUUAUUGCUCCCCAUCAGGAAAAUCCUCCUGGAGUUCAACGCCAGCGGUGAGCCUGCAAACAUUUUUCGAAAGAUCGUUCAUACCACAAAAAGAAAAAAAAAAGUGGUAAUUUUAAAAAAAGAUGGUACCUUAUUAGAAAAGAAACAUUAUUUUUUUUUAUCACAAUAGAUUGGGAAGAUUAUAUGUUUUGAGCGUGAGAUCAAGAUAAUCGAAAAGCUGAACAGUCAAACUAAUGAGCUAAAUGCAUCUUUUCAAUCCACAGGGUAUCCAACCUACUCAAUAUAACUUCUGAUCCUCUCAAGUUCCUAAAGCAUCCCAUCUCCUUUCCUCAAGAACACAACUGCCAUUGGAUCACUCUGCAAGAAACCAUUA
rnacentral:lncRNA from 1 species